AAGUUGAAGAUUGUGUUUAUGAUCAGAAUUACCUUCAGAUGCAUUAGUACUCAUGCAUACAUUUGAGCAAAUAUCUUGAUGUAAAUCAUCUAAUAAUUUUUCUAUACCACCAUAUUCGACAAGUUCUGCAGCAUCACUAUCAUCUUCAAUAUCGUCAUCGUCACGCACAACUUCAUUUGGAUCAUCCUUCCUAUGCCAUAUCUAGUGAGUAUACUUCUUGUCUAUACCAUAA
rnacentral:lncRNA from 1 species